UAGCUGGUUGGCGCGGCUCCGUAAUGAG
rnacentral:sRNA from 1 species